GUGAACGCUGGCGGUAGGCCUAACCCCUGCCAGUCGAACGGCAGCACCGUAAGAGCUUGCUCUUACGGGUGGCGAGUGGCGGACGGGUGAGGAAUACAUCGGAAUCUACUUUUUCGUGGGGGAUAACGUAGGGAAACUUACGCUAAUACCGCAUACGACCUACGGGUGAAAGCAGGGGAUCUUCGGACCUUGCGCGAUUGAAUGAGCCGAUGUCGGAUUAGCUAGUUGGCGGGGUAAAGGCCCACCAAGGCGACGAUCCGUAGCUGGUCUGAGAGGAUGAUCAGCCACACUGGAACUGAGACACGGUCCAGACUCCUACGGGAGGCAGCAGUGGGGAAUAUUGGACAAUGGGCGCAAGCCUGAUCCAGCCAUACCGCGUGGGUGAAGAAGGCCUUCGGGUUGUAAAGCCCUUUUGUUGGGAAAGAAAGGCAGCAGGUUAAUACCCCGCUGUUCUGACGGUACCCAAAGAAUAAGCACCGGCUAACUUCGUG
rnacentral:rRNA from 1 species